rnacentral:rRNA from 1 species
GAUGAACGCUAGCGGCAGGCCUAACACAUGCAAGUCGAGGGGUAGAGGAAGCCUGCUUCCUUGAGACCGGCGCACGGGUGCGUAACGCGUAUGCAAUCUACCUUGUACAGAGGGAUAGCCCAGAGAAAUUUGGAUUAAUACCUUAUAGUAUUAUUGAAUGGCAUCAUUUAAUAAUUAAAGUUCUAACGGUACAAGAUGAGCAUGCGUCCUAUUAGCUAGUUGGUGUGGUAACGGCAUACCAAGGCUACGAUAGGUAGGGGUCCUGAGAGGGAGAUCCCCCACACUGGUACUGAGACACGGACUAGACUCCUACGGGAGGCAGCAGUGAGGAAUAUUGGACAAUGGGCGCAAGCCUGAUCCAGCCAUGCCGCGUGCAGGAAGACGCAUCUAUGGUGUGUAAACUGCUUUUGUACGGGAAGAAACACUCCCUCGUGAGGGAGCUUGACGGUACCGUAAGAAUAAGGAUCGGCUAACUCCGUGCCAGCCGCCGCCGUAACAC